AGAGUUUGAUCCUGGCUCAGAUUGAACGCUGGCGGCAUGCCUUACACAUGCAAGUCGAACGGCAGCACGGGAGCAAUCCUGGUGGCGAGUGGCGAACGGGUGAGUAAUAUAUCGGAACGUGCCCAGUCGUGGGGGAUAACGCAGCGAAAGCUGUGCUAAUACCGCAUACGAUCUACGGAUGAAAGCGGGGGAUCGCAAGACCUCGCGCGAUUGGAGCGGCCGAUAUCAGAUUAGCUAGUUGGCGGGGUAAAAGCCCACCAAGGCGACGAUCUGUAGCUGGUCUGAGAGGACGACCAGCCACACUGGAACUGAGACACGGUCCAGACUCCUACGGGAGGCAGCAGUGGGGAAUUUUGGACAAUGGGCGCAAGCCUGAUCCAGCAAUGCCGCGUGCAGGAUGAAGGCCUUUGGGUUGUAAACUGCUUUUGUACGGAACGAAACGGUGAUCUCUAAUAAAGGUCGCUAAUGACGGUACCGUAAGAAUAAGCACCGGCUAACUACGUGCCAGCAGCCGCGGUAAUACGUAGGGUGCAAGCGUUAAUCGGAAUUACUGGGCGUAAAGCGUGCGCAGGCGGUGAUGUAAGACAGAUGUGAAAUCCCCGGGCUCAACCUGGGACCUGCAUUUGUGACUGCAUCGCUAGAGUACGGUAGAGGGGGAUGGAAUUCCGCGUGUAGCAGUGAAAUGCGUAGAUAUGCGGAGGAACACCGAUGGCGAAGGCAAUCCCCUGGACCUGUACUGACGCUCAUGCACGAAAGCGUGGGGAGCAAACAGGAUUAGAUACCCUGGUAGUCCACGCCCU
rnacentral:rRNA from 1 species